AAACUUUCAACAACGGAUCUCUUGGCUCUCGCAUCGAUGAAGAACGCAGCGAAAUGCGAUAAGUAAUGUGAAUUGCAGAAUUCAGUGAAUCAUCGAAUCUUUGAACGCACCUUGCGCCUCUUGGUAUUCCGAGAGGCAUGCCUGUUUGAGU
rnacentral:rRNA from 2 species